GCACCACAAGGGGUGAAGCCUGCGGUUCAAUUGGACUCAACGCCGGGAAACUUACCAGGGGAGACAGCAGUAUGACGGUCAGGUUGACGACCUUACCCGGCGAGCUGAGAGGAGGUGCAUGGCCGUCGCCAGUUCGUGCCGUGAGGUAUCCUGUUAAGUCAGGCAACGAACGAGAUCCGCACCUUUAUUUGCCAACAAGAAGUCACGACUUCGUUGGGAACACUAAAGGGACCGCCGUCGAUAAGACGGAGGAAGGAGCGGGCAAAGGCAGGUCAGUAUGCCCCGAAACCCCUGGGCUACACGCGGGCUGCAAUGGUAUGAACAAUGGGCUGUGACUCCGAAAGGAGAAACCAAUCCCGAAAUCAUAUCUCAGUUGGAAUUGUCGGCUGUAACCCGCCGACAUGAACGUGGAAUCCCUAGUAAUCGUGUGUCAUCAUCGCACGGUGAAUACGUCUCUGCUCCUUGCACACACCGCCCGUCGCUCCAUCCGAGUGUGCUAAAAAUGAGGUUUGGUCAGUUUGGUCAUAUCGAGUUUCUAGUAUGCGAGGAGGGAG
rnacentral:rRNA from 1 species